UAGGGAAUCUUCGGCAAUGGACGAAAGUCUGACCGAGCAACGCCGCGUGAGUGAAGAAGGUUUUCGGAUCGUAAAACUCUGUUGUUAGAGAAGAACAAGGACGUUAGUAACUGAACGUCCCCUGACGGUAUCUAACCAGAAAGCCACGGCUAACUACGUGCCAGCAGCCGCGGUAAUACGUAGGUGGCAAGCGUUGUCCGGAUUUAUUGGGCGUAAAGCGAGCGCAGGCGGUUUCUUAAGUCUGAUGUGAAAGCCCCCGGCUCAACCGGGGAGGGUCAUUGGAAACUGGGAGGCUUGAGUGCAGAAGAGGAGAGUGGAAUUCCAUGUGUAGCGGUGAAAUGCGUAGAUAUAUGGGGGAACACCAGUGGCGGAGGCGGCUCUCUGGUCUGUAACUGACGCUGAGGCUCGAAAGCGUGGUGAGCAAACAGG
rnacentral:rRNA from 1 species